CAGCAGCCGCGGUAAUACGAAGGGGGCUAGCGUUGUUCGGAUUUACUGGGCGUAAAGCGCACGUAGGCGGAUUCUUAAGUCAGAGGUGAAAUCCCAAGGCUCAACCUUGGAACUGCCUUUGAUACUGGGGAUCUUGAGUUAGGAAGAGGGUUGUGGAAUUCCCAGUGUAGAGGUGAAAUUCGUAGAUAUUGGGAAGAACACCGGUGGCGAAGGCGGCAACCUGGUCCUUGACUGACGCUGAGGCGCGAAAGCGUGGGGAGCAAACAGGAUUAGAUACCCCCGUAGUCCCUGUCUCUUAUAC
rnacentral:rRNA from 1 species